rnacentral:rRNA from 1 species
GGCGAACGCUGGCGGCGUGCCUAACACAUGCAAGUCGAACGGGACUUGCCCCUUCGGGGACAAGUUUAGUGGCGAACGGGUGAGUAACGCGUGAGGAACCUGCCUUUCAGUGGGGGACAACAGUUGGAAACGACUGCUAAUACCGCAUAACACUUUGGGGUCGCAUGAUUCUGAAGUCAAAGAUUUAUUGCUGAAAGAUGGCCUCGCGUCUGAUUAGCUAGUUGGCGGGGUAACGGCCCACCAAGGCGACGAUGUCUAGGGGUUCCGAGAGGAAGGUCCCCCACACUGGAACUGAGACACGGUCCAG